UUUAAUAUGACAGAUUAAUGUAAUGAAUUUAAGCUUCAUUUAUAAAGGAUUUCCUUUUAUUAAAA
rnacentral:tRNA from 1 species